rnacentral:misc_RNA from 1 species
CCCUAAAGAAUUGUAAACCAGCCACAAGAACUUCUAGACUAGCUUUAGCAUUAUUAAAAUUCUUUUGUAGAAGAGCAGUGGCCUCUUCCCAUGAAUAUUCCAACAUGACAUUUGCUCCCCAGCCACAAACAUACUGAAUCAGCAGCCUCAAUGCAAGCCCGCGAAUAUAUGCCUUCGGAGACUUCAAAAUCAGCAACAAGUGCCUCAGCAGUACCCUUCUUAGCCUGUAAA